AGAAGUUGUUGACAGAAGUCUAAAAUAUUGUAUAAGAUAAGAAGUUAUGUUAAAUGAUUGUUGGAAAUGAUAUGUUAAAAACAACAACAAUAAAAUGUGUGUGUGUGUGUGUGUGUGUGUGUGUGUGUGUGUAUGAUAUCCCAAUAGGGAGCCUGCAAGCAGGAGCCUGACCACAAGAGCUCUCUCUGCUUCCUA